rnacentral:rRNA from 1 species
UGGGGAAUAUUGCACAAUGGGGGAAACCCUGAUGCAGCGACGCCGCGUGAGCGAAGAAGGUUUUCGAAUCGUAAAGCUCUGUCCUAUGAGAAGAUAAUGACGGUAUCAUAAGAAAAAGCCCCGGCUAACUACGUGCCAGCAGCCGCGGUAAUACGUAGGGGGCUAGCGUUGUCCGGAAUCACUGGGCGUAAAGGGUUCGCAGGCGGAAAUGCAAGUCAGGUGUAAAAGGCAGUAGCUUAACUACUGUAAGCAUUUGAAACUGCAUAUCUUGAGAAGAGUAGAGGUAAGUGGAAUUUUUAGUGUAGCGGUGAAAUGCGUAGAUAUUAAAAAGAAUACCGGUGGCGAAGGCGACUUACUGGGCUCAUUCUGACGCUGAGGAACGAAAGCGUGGGUAGCAAACAGG